AGCAACAAAACCAAUCAGAGCUUGCUCUGUGGUUUGGUGAAUCUGAAUAACUGAGCGAAUCGCUUCGGUCUUCGUACCGGCGAUGCAUCUUUCAAGUGUCUGCCUUAUCAACUUUCGAUGGUAGUUUAUGUGACUACCAUGGUUGUAACGGGUAACGGAGAAUUAGGGUUCGACUCCGGAGAGGGAGCCUGAGAAACGGCUACCACUUCUAAGGAAGGCAGCAGGCGCGAAAAUUACCCACUAUCAGCACGGAGAUGAGGUAGUAACGAAAAAUAACGAGCGGAGCUUCUUACGAGGUUUCGCAUCGGAAUGAGAACAAUGUAAACCUUUUAGCGAGGAUCUAGCAGAGGGCAAGUCUGGUGCCAGCAGCCGCGGUAAUUCCAGCUCUGCCAGUGUAUAUCUAUGCUGCUGCGGUUAAAAAGCUCGUAGUUGGAUCUGCGUGCACGGUGGCGGUCGGCCUUCGGGUCUGCACUGCCGACCUGCACUGAACUGUCAGCUCAGCGUCGGUGCCCUUAACCGGGUGUCGUCGUCGACUGGCGAGUUUACUUUGAAAAAAUUAGAGUGCUCAAAACAAGCGUUUCGCUUGAAUACUGGUGCAUGGAAUAAUAGAAUAGGACCUUGGUUCUAUUUU
rnacentral:rRNA from 1 species